UAGUUAGGAUGGCGUUUUCUUGCUCCACAAUUCGAGAUUCCAGUUGCUCCACUGAUUCUGGCUCUUUGUUCUGCACUGUGGCACUCAUCAUCUGUUUCUUCAUCAUGCUGUACUUAUGCAAUGCUCGCUGGUGCUUGUGCAGUACCCCCUUCUCAUGUCUUUCACACAGGUCUUUAUAGGACUGGAGUAAAUCCAGGAAAAGGUUCAGCUUCUCC
rnacentral:lncRNA from 1 species